rnacentral:sRNA from 1 species
GGCGGGAGGAUGAAGUUGAUUGACUAUGGUCUCUCUGGCAACCAGGAAGAGUCUGCCGAAGGUGAAGGCCAUGGACUUCAUCACCUCCACAGCCAUCCUGCCCCUGCUGUUCAGCUGCCUGGGCGUCUUCGGCCUCUUCCGGCUGCUGCAGUGGGUGCGCGGGAAGGCCUACCUGCGGAAUGCUGUGGUGGUGAUCACAGGCGCCACCUCAGGGCUGGGCAAAGGUGGGUCCUGGAGGCAGUGCUGCCAGGGGGCGGGGGUAAGUCAGCCAGGGAUGAGGAGCGGCCCAACUGCACAGGGAUCGCCAGUGCAAAUGCCCGAAGCGGCAGCAGAAGGCCAGAUAAGGGAAGUGGGCCGUAUGGCACUGUCCUUGGUCCAAGUGGAAAAAGCAGGAGCCAAGGCACAGUGAGAAAUGACUCAGCAUCAGGGUGGGAGGCAAGCGU